CUUUAAAAAUGUGCGAACAGAAUCGCUGUUUGACACUAAUAAGCAUAUUUAUUUUAAAUGUGUAUAAAUGUACAAUGCAUAAAUCAAAUCUAAUACAUGUACUACCUAAUAUUUUCUGUGAGCGUUGAGUGGAUACAUGAAUAAAGAGUCAGCCGAAAUCCUCUCGACACUGGAAGUAAUGGAAAGUCAGGUUCGGCAAUUUUAUCUUCUUCGUCUGAAGUGGAAACACAAGGAGCGUUUGUAUCAUCAGGUUUUCCCAGUGCAUCGCAACUAGCCUGUUCAGGUGGACUUGGAUCGCCAGGCUGGCUACAGUCGUUCUGAGACUGCUCAAUGAUGUCACUAACAUUCAU